UAAACUUAUUAAUUCCAUGUAUUACUCUUGCACACUUGUAUUCCCUUGCUUGAGCUGUUCAAACUCUGUAUCCUUAGCUUCUCUAUCCUCUUCUGGGAUAAAGUUAGCGAUGAAGGCCUCUUUAAAUUCUUCCCAAGUAGGCGGACCAUCAUCUUCAUCCCUUUCCUUUUCCCAUAUCUCAAUCCAAGCGCCAGCCACAUCUCUAAGCUGGUAAGUAGUCAGCUCCACAUCUCCAUCAUCAAAUGCUUUUAACACUCGGAGGGCUUUCUUGACACCCUCGAGCCACAACAUCGGAUUUUCAUCAACUAUAGAACCGUGGAACACUGGAGGAAUCAACUUUGUAAAUUCAUUUACCCUUGAGGACUCAAAAUUGUC
rnacentral:lncRNA from 1 species